GCUGUGAUGACUUCCCUUGAAACGUGUUAGACUGCUGAUGCGAAUGAUGCCACUUCCAAUCUGAGC
rnacentral:snoRNA from 13 species